rnacentral:rRNA from 1 species
UACAGAGGGGGCAAGCGUUAUUCGGAAUUAUUGGGCGUAAAGGGCGCGUAGGCGGCAUGACAAGUGGAUGGUGAAAUCCCUCGGCUUAACCGAGGAACUGCCAUCCAGACUGUUUUGCUUGAGGCCGGGAGAGGUGAGUGGAAUUCCCAGUGUAGCGGUGAAAUGCGUAGAUAUCUGGAGGAACACCGGUGGCGAAGGCGACAUCCUGGACCGGUAUUGACGCUGAGGCGCGAAAGCCAGGGGAGCAAACGGG